GAUGAACGCUAGCGACAGGCUUAACACAUGCAAGUCGAGGGGCAGCGGGGGUAGCAAUACCCGCCGGCGACCGGCGCACGGGUGAGUAACGCGUAUGCAACUUACCUAUCAGAGGGGGAUAACCCGGCGAAAGUCGGACUAAUACCGCAUGAAGCAGGGGCCCCGCAUGGGGAUAUUUGCUAAAGAUUCAUCGCUGAUAGAUAGGCAUGCGUUCCAUUAGGCAGUUGGCGGGGUAACGGCCCACCAAACCGACGAUGGAUAGGGGUUCUGAGAGGAAGGUCCCCCACAUUGGUACUGAGACACGGACCAAACUCCUACGGGAGGCAGCAGUGAGGAAUAUUGGUCAAUGGCCGAGAGGCUGAACCAGCCAAGUCGCGUGAGGGAUGAAGGUUCUAUGGAUCGUAAACCUCUUUUAUAAGGGAAUAAAGUGCGGGACGUGUCCCGUUUUGUAUGUACCUUAUGAAUAAGGAUCGGCUAACUCCGUGCCAGCAGCCGCGGUAAUACGGAGGACCCGAGCGUUAUCCGGAUUUAUUGGGUUUAAAGGGUGCGUAGGCGGCCUUUUAAGUCAGCGGUGAAAGUCUGUGGCUCAACCAUAGAAUUGCCGUUGAAACUGGGGGGCUUGAGUAUGUUUGAGGCAGGCGGAAUGCGUGGUGUAGCGGUGAAAUGCAUAGAUAUCACGCAGAACCCCGAUUGCGAAGGCAGCCUGCCAAGCCAUUACUGACGCUGAUGCACGAAAGCGUGGGGAUCAAACAGGAUUAGAUACCCUGGUAGUCCACGCAGUAAACGAUGAUCACUAGCUGUUUGCGAUACACUGUAAGCGGCACAGCGAAAGCGUUAAGUGAUCCACCUGGGGAGUACGCCGGCAACGGUGAAACUCAAAGGAAUUGACGGGGGCCCGCACAAGCGGAGGAACAUGUGGUUUAAUUCGAUGAUACGCGAGGAACCUUACCCGGGUUUGAACGCAUUCGGACCGAGGUGGAAACACCUUUUCUAGCAAUAGCCGUUUGCGAGGUGCUGCAUGGUUGUCGUCAGCUCGUGCCGUGAGGUGUCGGCUUAAGUGCCAUAACGAGCGCAACCCUUGCCACUAGUUACUAACAGGUAAAGCUGAGGACUCUGGUGGGACUGCCAGCGUAAGCUGCGAGGAAGGCGGGGAUGACGUCAAAUCAGCACGGCCCUUACAUCCGGGGCGACACACGUGUUACAAUGGCGUGGACAAAGGGAGGCCACCUGGCGACAGGGAGCGAAUCCCCAAACCACGUCUCAGUUCGGAUCGGAGUCUGCAACCCGACUCCGUGAAGCUGGAUUCGCUAGUAAUCGCGCAUCAGCCAUGGCGCGGUGAAUACGUUCCCGGGCCUUGUACACACCGCCCGUCAAGCCAUGGGAGCCGGGGGUACCAGAAGUCCGUAACCGCGAGGAUCGGCCUAGGGU
rnacentral:rRNA from 1 species